rnacentral:lncRNA from 1 species
UAGUCAGUGUGCAGAAUUUAUUUUUUGUUUGUAAAUUCAAAUUUCAUUCAAAAUUGAGUUUUUUUUUUUUUUUCGUCUUUCUGAUUAUAUUAAAGCCCAAAAUGACAGAUUACAUAUGAUUCUAAGCCUAUUAAACGAACAAAAUACAGAAGAUUUGAGACCCACACUUAUUAAAAUAAGACUCCCAAAUAUCAAUCCCAAAUAGACCCAAAAACAAGAGAUAAGGAUUGAUAAUAUUAAAACACGUGUAUAACACGCGGCAAGUCUGGGUUGAAUGUCGAUUUCCGGAGAGAAGAUGCCGGUGAUUCAUCGCCGAAACAAAGCUUCGCCGGAAAAUCGAAUAUCCGAAAAGUAUGAUAACUCCAAUCAAAUCUGCAUCCACCUCAAAUCCCUGUUUCUUUGUCGUUUAUUUCAUCCUCCAAUUAGAUCCGUAAAGUAAUGGUCAGGAUUUUUAAUUCUCCGAUCAAAUCUCACCGUCGAUUAUCUUUGACGCUAGACUUGUUACCCAUCGCCAUGUAUGGUUUCUAUGAGGGUAUCUGGGGAGAUUUUAGUCUCCCAGCCGAGAGAAAGAUGAUGCCAAAGUUCGGAAGAAGAAGCCCAACUCUUACCGCAUGAUCCUUUUAUCACCACCUCAAGUUUAAGAAGAAUCAUCUGUAGAGGAGAAAAAGGCUAAAAAACUAUCCGAAAAUCGAAAUUUCUUUGCUUUAUCUCAAUAAAACUGAUUUCUCUAACAAUUUGCACUCCACUAAGGAUUAGCGACAUUUGUUAGAAGACAAAUCAAUCAAAAGCAGCAAAGAUGAAAAUCGAUAGACGGAAGCAGAGAAGAUCCGAAUAGAGCGGAAGUUAUUAUCCGUUAAAUGGAAAGAGAAAUUCGAUAUUAAUCGGAAAUAUACAUCAAAAGCUGAGAAAAACUCCUUCUUUGUGAAAGAUAAUGGUGAGAGAACAGAGAAGGAGGAAAAAACCUCAGCUCAGAAACCUCUGCUAAUAUAAUCUUGUGUACUUUAUGAAUCAAACAAGUAUUCAUUCAAAAUUGAGUUUAUUUCAUUGCUGCUGGAGAGUCGAGAAGAUAUUUAGUCUCACAUUUUUGUUUAACCCUA